rnacentral:rRNA from 1 species
GAUGAACGCUGGCGGCGUGCCUAAUACAUGCAAGUCGAGCGAACAGACGAGGAGCUUGCUCCUCUGACGUUAGCGGCGGACGGGUGAGUAACACGUGGAUAACCUACCUAUAAGACUGGGAUAACUUCGGGAAACCGGAGCUAAUACCGGAUAACAUGUUGAACCGCAUGGUUCAACAGUGAAAGACGGUCUUGCUAUCACUUAUAGAUGGAUCCGCGCCGCAUUAGCUAGUUGGUAAGGUAACGGCUUACCAAGGCAACGAUGCGUAGCCGACCUGAGAGGGUGAUCGGCCACACUGGAACUGAGACACGGUCCAGACUCCUACGGGAGGCAGCAGUAGGGAAUCUUCCGCAAUGGGCGAAAGCCUGACGGAGCAACGCCGCGUGAGUGAAGAAGGUCUUCGGAUCGUAAAACUCUGUUAUUAGGGAAGAACAAAUGUGUAAGUAACUAUGCACGUCUUGACGGUACCUAAUCAGAAAGCCACGGCUAACUACGUG